rnacentral:rRNA from 1 species
GGGUGGGAUUCUACCCUAGCUGUGUUUGCUUUCUAACCCGCACCACUUAUCGUGGUGGGAGACAAUGUCAGGCGGGCAGUUUGACUGGGGCGGUCGCCUCCUAAAAGGUAACGGAGGCGCUCAAAGGUUCCCUCAGAAUGGUUGGAAAUCAUUCAUAGAGUGUAAAGGCAUAAGGGAGCUCGACUGCGAGACCUACAAGUCGAGCAGGGUCGAAAGACGGACUUAGUGAUCCGGUGGUUCCGCAUGGAAGGGCCAUCGCCCAACGGACAAAACCUACACCCGGGAUAACAGG